UUUAAGUACAACAAUAAGUUUUCGCGCUCAACUUUUAUCGUCCGUCUUAUUUAAAUUUUUUUAUAAUUAGUAUAUUUGUUGUUAUGAAAUGAUAAAAUAUAAAUAGUACUUUACUCGUGACUUAUGUUUUUAAUUUUUUUAAAAAAAAAUUAAAUAAAAUGAACGAUUAAAGUUGGGUGUGGAAAACUAUGACUGUAUUUAAA
rfam:Oryza barthii chromosome 12, whole genome shotgun sequence.